rnacentral:rRNA from 1 species
UACGUAGGGAGCAAGCGUUGUCCGGAAUUACUGGGCGUAAAGCGCGUGUAGGCAGUUUCGCAAGUCGGAUGUGAAAGCCCUGGGCUCAACCUAGGAAGUGCAUUCGAAAACUGCGAGACUGGAGUCCUGGAGAGGAAGGCGGAAUUCUCGGUGUAGAGGUGAAAUUCGUAGAUAUCGAGAGGAACACCAGUGGCGAAGGCGAACUACCUGGCCCUGUUCUUGACGCUGAGGCGCGAAAGCUAGGGGAGCAAACGGGGAUUAAGAUACCCGUGAG